UACGGAGGGGGCUAGCGUUGUUCGGAAUUACUGGGCGUAAAGCGCACGUAGGCGGCUUUGUAAGUUAGAGGUGAAAGCCCGGGGCUCAACCCCGGAAUUGCCUUUAAGACUGCAUCGCUUGAACGUCGGAGAGGUGAGUGGAAUUCCGAGUGUAGAGGUGAAAUUCGUAGAUAUUCGGAAGAACACCAGUGGCGAAGGCGGCUCACUGGACGACUGUUGACGCUGAGGUGCGAAGGCGUGGGGAGCAAACAGG
rnacentral:rRNA from 1 species